AUGUACCACGCGUACACUGCGGUUCCUGCGCGCCGUCCGCGCCUACCUGACGGCUGCUCGCUACGUUUUGUUAGCC
rnacentral:sRNA from 1 species